CCUACGGGAGACAGCAGUGGGGAAUAUUGCGCAAUGGGCGAAAGCCUGACGCAGCGACGCCGCGUGAGGGAUGAAGGCCUUCGGGUUGUAAAGAUCUGUUGACAGGGACGAAUAAGCAAUGCGACUCGUUUUGUUUAUGACGGUACCUGUUUAGAAAGCUCCGGCUAACUACGUGCCAGCAGCCGCGGUAAUACGUAGGGAGCAAGCGUUGUCCGGAAUUACUGGGCGUAAAGGUCGCGUAGGUGGGCGCUUAAGUCAGGUGUGAAACCUCCGGGCUCAACCUGGAGACUGCACGUGAAACUGGGUGUCUGGAGGGCAGGAGAGGAAAGUGGAAGUCCUAGUGUAGCGGUGAAAUGCGUAGAUAUUAGGAGGAACACCAGUGGCGAAGGCGACUUGCUGGACUGUACCUGACGCUGAGGCGCGAAAGCGUGGGUAGCGAACGGGAUUAGAUACCCGGGUAGUC
rnacentral:rRNA from 1 species